UUGGGAAGGAGGCACGUAGAUUUCUGAAGGCUGUAAGUCAAGGGCACAGGACAUUUUCCAGACACCAGAACACAAAAGGAUGUAAAGCUAUGGGGGAAACCAGGGCUUCCCCAGAUCCCAGGCAUCAGUGUCAGUUUCUCCUUAAGAUGGUGUGGCGACGGUGGUGAUGGUGGCCAGGAGGUAAGGCAAGAGGUAGAGACAAUGAUGGGGGGGGGGUGUGUGGGCAGGAGGAUGCAGGCACAACUGCAUGAAUGUAGGGCGAUAAGAACAGAAUUUUCUCUAAAGAUGAGUCAACAUUCAUUAUCUCAGUAUCUGUAGAACUAUCCUGCAUUAGACACUGGGAAUACAUUAGCUAUCAGGGAGCUUACAAAACAUAGCUUGACUAUUAUGUUGAGCCCGGGUUUAAAGAUGCUUAAUGAAUGCUAGUAAAAUGAAAUAAACUUUUUUUUUUUUUAAAGAUUUAUUUAUUUGACAGAGAGAGAGAGAGAU